UUGAUGUCAAAACCAAAUGAGAUCAUUACAGUGUUAACAAGCAGUGGGGACAAUCUGUAAUGUAGGAACGAACAGAAUGUGAGCCUGUUUACACGUGUGUGCAGACAGAUGCAGCAGUGUGACAAUUGACUGUGUGCUGCAUCUAUGCUUAAGCAUUUACCUUUUGCUUUCCCAUGGCUGAUAAAGUGUGUGUGUGGAUAUGUAUAUAUGUGUGUGUAUAGAUAGAUAGAUAUAGAUAUAUAUGUAUAUAUAAAUACAUAUACUUGCAUAUCUUUAUGUCUUUGUUUUGGAGAAACUAGAAGAGAUUUUUUUUCAGUAUCAAUAUUCAUGUUUUAUUCAUUUUUCUUUUUUUAAUUAGGUAUUUUCUUCAUUUAAAUUUCCAAUGCUAUCCCAAAAGUCCCCCAUACCUCCCCCCACUCCCCUACCCACCAACUCCCACUUCUUGGCCCUGGUGUUCCCGUGUACUGAGGCAUAUAAAGUUUGCAAGACCAAGGGGCCUCUCUUCCCAAUGAUGGCCGACUACGCCAUCUUCUGCUACGUAUGCAGCUAGAGACACGAGCUCCGGGGGUACUGGUUAGUUCAUAUUGUUGUUCCACCUAUAGGGUUGCAGACCCCUUUAGCUCCUUGGGUACUUUCUCUAGCUCCUCCAUUGGGGGCCCCAUGUUCCAUCCAAUAGCUGACGUGAGCAUCCACUUCUGUGUUUGCCAGGCACUGAAAUAGCCUCACAAGAGACAGCUAUAUCAGGGCCAUUUCAUAGAAGAGAUUUUUUUAAAACAUCUCACAUUGUAGCCCAGACUUGCCUCCAAUUCACAGUGACCCUUAUCCCUGAGCCUCCUGGGUGGUAAGACUACAGGGCUGCUUAUAUGUUUUUUUAUAAGUUAAAGUUACAGUUGUCAUUUAAAUAUUUUUAGUGAUUAUCACUUCCAAAGUUGUCUUAAAAUCAAACUUUAUCGAAAAAGAUUUCACAUACUAAAAAUAAGAUACUAUUUUUAAAAUUGGCCUUUUUGUUUAUAAUUUCAGUAUUAGCUCAGAUUUUGGUUUUCUUCCCCUCAGUAGAGUAGGGUAGAUAAGAAUAUAUUUAUUUACAUAUAUAUUCUGUUUUAACAGUUCUUUGAGGUGUAUUUAUUAGAGAACCUAUUUUCUUAGCAAAGAAAACAGGAAUGGUUUUGCAAUGACAAAAUUGAAUUUUAGCUUUUGGGAGGCUUCUGUGGCAAAAUCCCUUUCAAUUUCCAAAAGCCUGUAAUUCUAGGGGUAUUUAUUUUUAGAUUAUGGUGUGUCUGUGCUUCCUUAAAUGCUAGCUGGCCUGUGGAACUAGAGCAUGCCUGCUCACUCACCUCUUUGGCUUGCAUGUGGUCUCCUCCAGCAGCAGCAGGGCCUGGGUGUUUCAGGUUAUUGGAUAAUUCUGCUUGAAUAUUCCCAGGCUAUACCAAUUCCUUCCUAAAACCAGCAAGUGUGGCUCUUAGCAAUUCCCUGUUGGUUUUCAUUAACUUUAUAAUCAGAGUCUUGGACUGAGGUUUGAAGAUGACAUCUGUAAUCCCUUCAGAGAGGGCUAGGCUGGUGCUCGUUAUUCUUGUGUCAAUGUCAGGUUUUAACUUCACCUCUUCCCUCCUUGUCCAGGUCCAUUUUAUGGCAAUGCGCAGGGUUUUAAAGUACAACAAAGUAGGGGAACAAACAGGCAAACCAGAGACAGAGUGUAAAACAAAACGUUUCUGGAACAACUUACCCGGUAGAAAGCACCAGCCGGAGCAUGUUUCUUUGUAGUUGAUGGUUUUGUUUUGUUUUUGCCGUCUCCCAUCCCCGUGUCCCAGUUAUAGCUGAAUGAUGACCCAAUUAAUCCACCUUAAUUAUUCUAAAAAAGAUAAAGGCCUUAAAUACUUUAAUUGCAUUCAGAUUUUUCAUAUUCUUAAUGAAGGCAUAUGAAUUGCAUAUGUAUAUACAUUUAUUUCUUGAAAAGGAUGUAGGGCUAAAUAUUAAUUUUGUUUCUAUUGUUUAAAAGUAAGAAAAAUAUGCACUGAUAUAGUACUGCCCACUGUUUAGAAUCAGCAGGGGCCGUGUGAUGGGGCAGAGAGUGGCCCUGGGCCUAUUAGUGGAGAGUGGCAGUCCUCCCAGGGGCGGAAAUGUAUGAUUAGAGAGGAAUGCUCGGCUGAGAGGGGAAGGGGUUAUUACUGGAGGACUUGGGCUGCCCUCUUUCAUCCUAUUUUGUCAGAAGUACCAAAAAAAGCUUUUGGAAAAGCUAGAAGGAAAGAUGCCAGAAUGUCAGCAGAGGUUGUGGCGGGACAGUUGGGGUAGAAAUCAUUUUCCUUUUCAUCUUUAUUUUCCAAAUUUUGUGGUUUCUUUCUUUUUUGUGUAUAAUUUUUUUUUAAAUUUUAGCUUUGUGCCAAAACAAAAACACAACUGUCACCUCAAAAGGAUAAGCAGUCGUUUAUUCUGAAGCCAAAAAGAAGUGGCCAUAGCCCAGGAACACAGAGUUAGCUUACCCAAGUCCCUUGUUUCAGCAUUGUAACAAAGGAAAUCCUAAAUCAAGGCCCUUCCAGAUACGUUGGUGGGAACAUGAAGUGCAUGGUUGAGCAAAGUGGAGCGAGUAACUUCUGCUGGCCUCAGAUGCUGUCUGCGAGCGUUCUCAGCCUUUGGAGUGGGGGAAACUAGGAUUUUGUUAGGUUAAUACAUUCCAGAGAGUCGCAGUGCAUUUAGGGGGCUAAAGAUAGCCCAAGAUAAAUUGUAAUUAGGCUCUGGACCUGCAAUAGUCCAACCUGUACUGUCAUUGAAGUGAAACUGUUAUUCAGCCUUGGAGAAGGGUCAGUUGAAGAUGCAGUUUCUUUCUGGAAACGUCUCAUUUGGAAGCCACUUUACAAUAAAUUUGACCCUCACUAUUAAAUAUAAAAUGGAGGAGGGGGUCUUCUGUAUUUAUAGUUUAAUAUAACCUCCAGUUGCUAUGAGAGUUUUAAUUAGAGUACAUUUCGUGACUCUGUUUUAAAUAGACCUUUGCUUCAAGGAACUUUUUUUUUUUUUUUUUUUUUAAUUCCUAGGCCCAAAUCAGACUCCUGUCUGCCUGGUUGUUUUCUUUAUGUUAAGUCUUUGUUUAUUGGUACCAUAUGUUACUCUGAGUUAUCUCUCCUCCAAAUCUGCUGGAUUUUCUGCCCUCAUAUGACCUUUGUGUUAGAGGUCAGAAGAAAGUGCCAGCUUCUACAGCACACCAGGUCACACCGAGUGCCUUUGGAGGGGUAUGCUCGUGCGCGCGUCUCAUAAGAAAAGUGUGUAUAUAUAUGUAUGUAUAUUGUUUGCAGGUGUAAGAAAAGUGUUUUGUAUGUAUGUAUGUAGAUACACACACUUUCCAUUUUUGAUUUAGAAAACCUUUGUGCCCUCAAACUCCCCACAUAAUCCAGACUGACUUUCAACUCGUUCCUGCUCCCUCUGCACCAGCCUCCAGAUUGCUGGGAUUGCAGCUUUGCACUGUACCACCAGGCUGAAUAGAAUCUCUCCGCCAGACACUGAGCUCACAGAGCUAGUCUCCAGUGCUGCACUUAAUGGCCUUUGAAGUGCCAUCUAAGAAGGUUUCUUUUUUUUUUUUUAUUCACUUGUUUAUUCAUUCUUUUCUCCUCCAAUACUAACCUGGAGUUCAGCUCUCCAGCACCCAUGUGAAUGGGUUUACCAAUUCCAGCUUCAAUUGGUGGAGGCAGGAGAUCCUCAGAGCAAGCUGGCAAGCAGGACUAAUCAUAUCAAAAAACCUUGGGGCUUGAUCAAAAGACCCUGCC
rnacentral:lncRNA from 1 species